rnacentral:rRNA from 1 species
UACGGAGGGAGCUAGCGUUGUUCGGAAUUACUGGGCGUAAAGCGCACGUAGGCGGCUUUGUAAGUUAGAGGUGAAAGCCUGGGGCUCAACCCCAGAAUUGCCUUUAAGACUGCAUCGCUUGAAUCCAGGAGAGGUGAGUGGAAUUCCGAGUGUAGAGGUGAAAUUCGUAGAUAUUCGGAAGAACACCAGUGGCGAAGGCGGCUCACUGGACUGGUAUUGACGCUGAGGUGCGAAAGCGUGGGGAGCAAACAGGGAUU